CCUACGGGAGGCAGCAGUGAGGAAUAUUGGUCAAUGGCCGAAAGCCUGAACCAGCCAAGCCGCGUGAAGGACGAAGGUGCCACGCAUUGUAAACUUCUUUUGUCAAGGGACAAAAUCAGGCUCGAGAGCCUGACCGAGGGUACUUGAAGAAAAAGCAUCGGCUAACUCCGUGCCAGCAGCCGCGGUAAUACGGAGGAUGCGAGCGUUAUACGGAUUUAUUGGGUUAAAAGGGUGCGCAGGCGGACCGUUAAGUCAGAGGUAAAAGCCCGGGGCUCAACCCCGGCGAGCCGUUGAAACUGGCUGUCUAGAGAUGGCGAGAGGUAUGCGGAAUGCGCAGUGUAGCGGUGAAAUGCUUAGAUAUUGCGCAGAACUCCGAUUGCGAAGGCAGCAUACCGGCGGCGAUCUGACGCUGAGGCACGAAAGCGUGGGUAUCGAACAGGAUUAGAUACCCCUGUAGUC
rnacentral:rRNA from 1 species